rnacentral:rRNA from 1 species
GAUGAACGCUAGCUACAGGCUUAACACAUGCAAGUCGCGGGGCAGCAUGGGGGUUGCUUGCAAUCCCCGAUGGCGACCGGCGCACGGGUGAGUAACGCGUAUCCAACCUGCCCUUCACCACGGGAUAACCCGGCGAAAGUCGGACUAAUACCGUAUGUUGUCCAUUGACGGCAUCCGAUUUGGACGAAAGGUGUGGCGGGGAAGGAUGGGGAUGCGGCCGAUUAGCUGGACGGCGGGGUGACGGCCCACCGUGGCGACGAUCGGGAGGGGUGCUGAGAGGAAGGUCCCCCACACUGGAACUGAGACACGGUCCAGACUCCUACGGGAGGCAGCAGUGAGGAAUAUUGGUCAAUGGGCGUAAGCCUGAACCAGCCAAGUAGCGUGCAGGAUGACGGCCCUAUGGGUUGUAAACUGCUUUUAUGCGGGGAUAAAGUGGCCCACGUGUGGGUUUUUGCAGGUACCGCAUGAAUAAGGACCGGCUAAUUCCGUG